rnacentral:rRNA from 1 species
UACGUAGGGUGCAAGCGUUAAUCGGAAUUACUGGGCGUAAAGCGUGCGCAGGCGGUUAUGCAAGACAGAUGUGAAAUCCCCGGGCUCAACCUGGGAACUGCAUUUGUGACUGCAUGGCUAGAGUGCGGCAGAGGGGGAUGGAAUUCCGCGUGUAGCAGUGAAAUGCGUAGAUAUCGGGAGGAACAUCGAUGGCGAAGGCAAUCACCUGGGCCUGAACUGACACUGUGACACGAAAGCGUGGGUAGCAAACAGG